rnacentral:rRNA from 1 species
UACGUAGGGGGCGAGCGUUGUCCGGAUUUAUUGGGCGUAAAGAGCGUGUAGGCGGCCAGGUAGGUCCGUUGUGAAAACUCGAGGCUCAACCUCGAGACGUCGAUGGAAACCAUCUGGCUAGAGUCCGGAAGAGGAGAGUGGAAUUCCUGGUGUAGCGGUGAAAUGCGCAGAUAUCAGGAGGAACACCGGUGGCGAAGGCGGAUCUCUGGGCCUGUCCUGACGCUGAGGCGCGAAAGCUAGGGGAGCGAACAGG